rnacentral:rRNA from 1 species
CAUUACAAAAAGUACAACCCGCCUCUCCGGAGGCGGGCCAUUACUCCAACCCUUUGUUGUCCGACCGCGUUGCCUCCGGGGCGACCCUGACCUCCGGGUCUCGGGGACCCCGGGUGGACACCCAAACUCUGCGUAACUUUGUAGUCUGAGUAACAAGUUUAAAUAAAUUAAAACUUUCAACAACGGAUCUCUUGGUUCUGGCAUCGAUGAAGAACGCAGCGAAAUGCGAUAAGUAAUGUGAAUUGCAGAAUUCAGUGAAUCAUCGAAUCUUUGAACGCACAUUGCGCCCCGUGGUAUUCCGCGGGGCAUGCCUGUUCGAGCGUCAUUUCACCACUCAAGCCUCGCUUGGUAUUGGGCGACGCGGUCCGCCGCGCGCCUCGAAUCGACCGGCUGGGUCGAUCGCACCCUCAGCGUUGUGGAAACUAUUCGCUAAAGGUAUUGCGGUCGGUCACGCCGUGAAACAAACCAAUUUUCAAUGGUUGACCUCGGAUCAGGUAGGGAUACCCGCUGAACUUAAGCAUAUCAAUAAGCGGAGGAAAAGAAACCAACAGGGAUUGCCCUAGUAACGGCGAGUGAAGCGGCAACAGCUCAAAUUUGAAAUCUGGCGCUUUCGGCGUCCGAGUUGUAAUUUGUAGAGGAUGCUUCUGGGCAGCCUCCGGUCUAAGUUCCUUGGAACAGGACGUCAUAGAGGGUGAGAAUCCCGUAUGCGACCGGAAAGGCGCCCUAUACGUAGCUCCUUCGACGAGUCGAGUUGUUUGGGAAUGCAGCUCUAAAUGGGAGGUAAAUUUCUUCUAAAGCUAAAUAUUGGCCAGAGACCGAUAGCGCACAAGUAGAGUGAUCGAAAGAUGAAAAGCACUUUGGAAAGAGAGUUAAAAAGCACGUGAAAUUGUUGAAAGGGAAGGGAUUGCAACCAGACUUGCUCGCGGUGUUCCGCCGGUCUUCUGACCGGUCUAUUCGCCGCGUUGCAGGCCAGCAUCGUCUGAGGCCGCCGGAUAAGACUUUGGGA